CCUACGGGAGGCAGCAGUGGGGAAUUUUGGACAAUGGGGGAAACCCUGAUCCAGCAAUGCCGCGUGAGUGAAGAAGGCCUUCGGGUUGUAAAGCUCUUUUGUCAGGGAAGAAACGGUGAAGGCUAAUAUCCUUUGCUAAUGACGGUACCUGAAGAAUAAGCACCGGCUAACUACGUGCCAGCAGCCGCGGUA
rnacentral:rRNA from 1 species